rnacentral:rRNA from 1 species
AAAUAAGGGCAUUUGGUGGAUGCCUUGGUGCUGAGAGGCGAUGAAGGACGUGACACGCUGCGAAAAGCCGUGGGGAGCUGCGAGUAAGCUUUGAUCCGCGGAUAUCCGAAUGGGGAAACCCGGCCGUAAGGUCAUCCGUACAUGAAUACAUAGUGUGCGGAAGCAAACCUGGUGAACUGAAAUAUCUAAGUAGCCAGAGGAAAGGACAUCAACCGAGACUCCGUUAGUAGUGACGAGCGAACGCGGACCAGGCCAGUGGCCAAUUAGAAGAAACCGGAACCGUCUGGAAAGUCGGGCCGUAGCGGGUGAUAGCCCCGUACGGGUAAAGCUUCUUUUUGGUCCUUGAGUAGGGCGGGGCACGUGAAACCCUGUCUGAACGUGGGGGGACCACCCUCCAAGCCUAAGUACUCCUCAGCGACCGAUAGUGAACAAGUACCGUGAGGGAAAGGUGAAAAGCACCCCGAUGAGGGGAGUGAAAUAGACCUGAAACCGAAUGCCUACAAGCAGUGGGAGCCCCCUCGUGGGGUGACUGCGUACCUUUUGUAUAAUGGGUCAGCGAGUUAGUCUGUCGAGCAAGCUUAAGCCGUUAGGUGUAGGCGUAGCGAAAGCGAGUCUUAAUAGGGCGUCGAGUUCGUCGGAUUAGACCCGAAACCGGGUGAUCUAGCCAUGGACAGGCUGAAGGUGCGGUAACACGCACUGGAGGACCGAACCCACGUCUGUUGAAAAAGACGGGGAUGACCUGUGGCUAGGGGUGAAAGGCCAAUCAAACUCGGAAAUAGCUGGUUCUCCGCGAAAUCUAUUUAGGUAGAGCGUCAUCCGAAUACCCUCGGGGGUAGAGCACUGGAUGGGCUAGGGGGGCGCGAGCCUUACCAAACCUAACCAAACUCCGAAUACCGAGGAGUACUAGAUGGCAGACACACUGCGGGUGCUAAGGUCCGUAGUGGAGAGGGAAACAGCCCUGACCACCAGCUAAGGUCCCUAAGUUAUCACUAAGUGGGAAACGAUGUGGGAGUGCUUAGACAACCAGGAGGUUGGCUUAGAAGCAGCCAUCCUUUAAAGAAAGCGUAAUAGCUCACUAGUCGAGUCGGCCUGCGCGGAAGAUGUAACGGGGCUCAAACUGGUUACCGAAGCUGCGGCUGUGCACGCAAGUGCACGGGGUAGGGGAGCGUUCUGUAAGCCUGCGAAGGUGUGUCGAGAGGCAUGCUGGAGGUAUCAGAAGUGCGAAUGCUGACAUGAGUAACGACAAUGGGGGUGAAAAACCCCCACGCCGGAAGACCAAGGGUUCCUGCGCAACGCUAAUCGGCGCAGGGUGAGUCGGCCCCUAAGGCGAGACCGAAAGGUGUAGUCGAUGGGAAACGGAUUAAUAUUUCCGUACCUUGGAUAGCUGCGAUGGAGAGACGGAGAAGGCUAGGUGAGCCGGGCGACGGUUGUCCCGGUUUAAGCAUGUAGGCAGUGGGAUUAGGCAAAUCCGGUCCCACAAUGCCGAGACGCGACGACGACUGCCCUUUUAGGGCGGGAAGUCAUUGAUGCCCUGCUUCCAGGAAAAUCUUCUAAGCUUCAGGCUAUUCGAGACCGUACCCCAAACCGACACAGGUGGUCAGGUAGAGAAUACCAAGGCGCUUGAGAGAACUCGGGUGAAGGAACUAGGCAAAAUGGCACCGUAACUUCGGGAGAAGGUGCGCCGGUGAGGGUGAAGGACUUGCUCCGUAAGCUCAUGCCGGUCGAAGAUACCAGGCCGCUGCGACUGUUUAUUAAAAACACAGCACUGUGCAAACACGAAAGUGGACGUAUACGGUGUGACGCCUGCCCGGUGCCGGAAGGUUAAUUGAUGGGGUUAGCGCUUGCGCGAAGCUCUUGAUCGAAGCCCCGGUAAACGGCGGCCGUAACAAUAACGGUCCUAAGGUAGCGAAAUUCCUUGUCGGGUAAGUUCCGACCUGCACGAAUGGCGUAACGAUGGGGGCGCUGUCUCUACCCGAGACUCAGUGAAAUUGAAAUCGCCGUGAAGAUGCGGUGUAUCCGCGGCUAGACGGAAAGACCCCGUGAACCUUUACUAUAGCUUCACAGUGAACUUUGAGCAUGUUUGUGUAGGAUAGCUGGGAGGCUUUGAAACCAGGACGCCAGUUCUGGUGGAGCCAACCUUGAAAUACCAGCCUGACCUGUUUGAGGUUCUAACUUCGACCCCUUAUCGGGGUUAAGGACACUGUGUGGUGGGUAGUUUGACUGGGGCGGUCUCCUCCCAAAGCGUAACGGAGGAGCACAAAGGUGGGCUAAGCAUGGUCGGACAUCAUGCGGUUAGUGUAAUGGCACAAGCCCGCUUAACUGCGAGACAGACACGUCGAGCAGGUACGAAAGUAGGUCAUAGUGAUCCGGUGGUUCUGUAUGGAAGGGCCAUCGCUCAACGGAUAAAAGGUACUCCGGGGAUAACAGGCUGAUACCGCCCAAGAGUUCACAUCGACGGCGGUGUUUGGCACCUCGAUGUCGGCUCAUCACAUCCUGGGGCUGAAGCCGGUCCCAAGGGUAUGGCUGUUCGCCAUUUAAAGUGGUACGCGAGCUGGGUUUAGAACGUCGUGAGACAGUUCGGUCCCUAUCUGCCGUGGACGUUGGAGAUUUGAGGAAAGCUGCUCCUAGUACGAGAGGACCGGAGUGGACGAACCGCUGGUGUUCGGGUUGUGUCGCCAGACGCAUUGCCCGGUAGCUAUGUUCGGAUAGGAUAACCGCUGAAAGCAUCUAAGCGGGAAGCCCCUUCCAAGAUGAGAUCUCCCUGGACCCUUGAGGUCCCUGAAGAGCCGUUCAAGACCAGGACGUUGAUAGGUCGGGUGUGUAAGCGCUGCGAGGCGUUGAGCUAACCGAUACUAAUUGCUCGUGAGGCUUGAC